UGGGAGCUUGCUCCCUGAUGUUAGCGGCGGACGGGUGAGUAACACGUGGGUAACCUGCCUGUAAGACUGGGAUAACUCCGGGAAACCGGGGCUAAUACCGGAUGGUUGUUUGAACCGCAUGGUUCAAACAUAAAAGGUGGCUUCGGCUACCACUUACAGAUGGACCCGCGGCGCAUUAGCUAGUUGGUGAGGUAACGGCUCACCAAGGCGACGAUGCGUAGCCGACCUGAGAGGGUGAUCGGCCACACUGGGACUGAGACACGGCCCAGACUCCUACGGGAGGCAGCAGUAGGGAAUCUUCCGCAAUGGACGAAAGUCUGACGGAGCAACGCCGCGUGAGUGAUGAAGGUUUUCGGAUCGUAAAGCUCUGUUGUUAGGGAAGAACAAGUACCGUUCGAAUAGGGCGGUACCUUGACGGUACCUAACCAGAAAGCCACGGCUAACUACGUGCCAGCAGCCGCGGUAAUACGUAGGUGGCAAGCGUUGUCCGGAAUUAUUGGGCGUAAAGGGCUCGCAGGCGGUUUCUUAAGUCUGAUGUGAAAGCCCCCGGCUCAACCGGGGAGGGUCAUUGGAAACUGGGGAACUUGAGUGCAGAAGAGGAGAGUGGAAUUCCACGUGUAGCGGUGAAAUGCGUAGAGAUGUGGAGGAACACCAGUGGCGAAGGCGACUCUCUGGUCUGUAACUGACGCUGAGGAGCGAAAGCGUGGGGAGCGAACAGGAUUAGAUACCCUGGUAGUCCACGCCGUAAACGAUGAGUGCUAAGUGUUAGGGGGUUUCCGCCCCUUAGUGCUGCAGCUAACGCAUUAAGCACUCCGCCGGGGGAGUACGGUCGCAAGACUGAAACUCAAAGGAAUUGACGGGGGCCCGCACAAGCGGUGGAGCAUGUGGUUUAAAUUCGAAGCACCGCGAAGAACUUUACAGGUUUGGAAUCCUCUGCCAAUCCCUAGAGAUAGGACGUCCCCUUCGGGGGCAGAGUGACAGGUGGUGCAUGGUUGUCGUCAGCUCGUGUCGUGAGAUGUUGGGUUAAGUCCCGCAACGAGCGCAACCCUUGAUCUUAGUUUCCAGCAAUUCAGUUGGGCACUCUAAGGGGACUGAAAAUCC
rnacentral:rRNA from 1 species